CACGUGGGGCGCAAGCGUUGUCCGGAAUUAUUGGGCGUAAAGAGCUCGUAGGUGGUUUGUUACGUCCGCUGUGAAAUCCUAGGGCUUAACCCUGGGCUUGCAGUGGAUACGGGCAGACUAGAGGUAGGUAGGGGAGAAUGGAAUUCCUGGUGUAGCGGUGAAAUGCGCAGAUAUCAGGAGGAACACCGGUGGCGAAGGCGGUUCUCUGGGCCUUACCUGACACUGAGGAGCGAAAGCGUGGGGAGCGAACAGG
rnacentral:rRNA from 1 species